rnacentral:lncRNA from 1 species
AACAUGAGAAAAAAGGGCUUGAACAUCCUACUUCUCCCCAGUGGAGUUAGAAAUAUUAAUGAAUGCAUAUGCAGAAUAUAAGUAUAUAUUUAAGUAAAAAAGCAAUACAGUAGCAGCAGCAAAAUAAUGUGAGCUGGCGUGGCAGAAAAUUGCUGACCGAGUCAAUGCGUGCAACCCAACAGCCACAAAACGUACUUAGCAGCAACUGAAGAUGAAAUAUAAAAAUAUACUUCAAACAGAAUGACAGGGAACUUGAAAUAUUCCCUGCUGCUAUCUACUGGAGCAUCUGUCAGGCCUCGCACAUGGAUGUAUUUUGAGCUGGUGACAGACAGUCAGCACCCAAUAGCAGACAGAGGAAUAAAGCCUGAUGGUGAAAUAUCUCCAUGGCCUAGCAUUCUGAGAAUAUCUGCUACUGACUAUUCGAAGACUCCAUAGAACCUUCCCUUGCUAUCCAAGUUCCUGAUCGUGUGAAAUGUAUUUUAG